AGGCCGCGGCGGGCGACCGCGGGAUCCGGGCAUGCCCGGUCCUGAGGAAAGUCCGAGCACGGCAGGACACGGCGGUGGGUAACACCCACCCGCUCGGGCGACCCCAGAGCGAGGGACAGUGCCACAGAAAAUACACCGCCGAUGGCUUGCCCCCGGGCGAGAACAGGCAAGGGUGAAAUGGUGCGGUAAGAGCGCACCGCCCGUCUGGUGACAGGCGGGGCACGGCAAACCCCGCCGCGUGCAAGGUCAAGCAGUUCCCCUCGCGUGCGUUGGCCGCGAACGGCUGGUCCGGCUGUCGUGGGAACGGGUAGACCGCUCGAGCGGCGCGGCGACGCGUCGCCUAGAGAAAUGGUCGCCCAUCGCCGGUCGCUGGCGCGCCGGCGUGGACAGAACUCGGCUUACAGCCGCGGCGGUCGA
rnacentral:RNase_P_RNA from 2 species